AACAAGUGAUGACAAGCCGUUUCGGUCCCAUAUGAUGGCCUGAUUACUACCUGUUGAGAUCACCUGACGUU